rnacentral:rRNA from 1 species
CAUUAUUGAAUAAACUUGGUUGGGUUGUUGCUGGCUUCUCGGAGCAUGUGCACGCCUAACGCCAUUUUUACCACCUGUGCACUUCUUGUAGAUUUGAAACACCUUUCGAGGCAACUCGGUUUGAGGACUGCUAUGCGAAAGCUAGCUUUCCUUGCGUUUCAGGUCUAUGUUUUUACAUACCCCAUAAGAAUGUUUUAGAAUGUCAUUAAUGGGCUUUAGUGCCUCUAAAUUAAUACAACUUUCAACAACGGAUCUCUUGGCUCUCGCAUCGAUGAAGAACGCAGCGAAAUGCGAUAAGUAAUGUGAAUUGCAGAAUUCAGUGAAUCAUCGAAUCUUUGAACGCACCUUGCGCUCCUUGGUAUUCCGAGGAGCAUGCCUGUUUGAGUGUCAUUAAAUUCUCAACCCUUUCAGCUUUUGCGAGUUGGAUUGGCUUGGAUGUGGAGGUUUGCGGGCUUCUUAGAAGUCGGCUCCUCUUAAAUGCAUUAGCGGAACCUUUGUGGACCAGCUUUGGUGUGAUAAUUAUCUACGCCAUGGCCGUGAAGCAGCUUUACAUGGGGUUCAGCUUCUAACCGUCCAUUGACUUGGACAAUUUCUGACAUUUUGACCU